ensembl:lncRNA
CUGAAAUAGGCUGCCCCAGAUGGGAGUACAGUGAGGAGUCGGGCUGGCGAGGAGAGAAUGGAAAAGAAACAGAAAAUUAGAAAAAGAGAAUUUUAAGACAACUGUCAGGUCCUGGCUGGGGGCCUCUAGGCAUCUCUAUGCUCCUGGUGGUCACAGCCACGGACUGUCGCAGGGGCAGGAGGAAGAGCCCCUGCCGCCAUGGGAGCGUGAGUACAAAGAGGCGUCAAAGGAUGACCAGGAGAUGCUUCUGUCUCCUAACUCGUGGGGGCUCUUGGAUGAGCCCUUGCAGACUUGGAACCAGAGGAGGGAGGAGGAACACUUUGGCCUCCAACCCCGAAAGAUCGGCCACCACCAGAGGGAUUCUUUGACCGGCCUCUGGAGGAGCAAGGUGCAAGGUGGUGGAGGUCUUAUGGCAGUGGAAAAGGAUGAAGAGGCCUUCGAGCAACGUAAUCAAAUGCGGAGGGAACGUCUGAGGCCCUGGUUGCCGGAUGCAUCGGCGGGCAAGGAGGCAACACCCAGCCAGGCCUGUGAUAUUUUGGUAUUAUCUUUUAAAUGAAAAGUAUUGCAGUAUUUAGCUAGCAGUGUAGUCAGCUAACUGGUUGGGUGUGCAUUUCUUCUGAUUAUAUUCAUAUUUGGAAAGUCCCAUAGCUAACUAUGUAACCAAUCGUCUGGUUAGGUUUGUCAGUCAGACUACCAAAAAGUGGUCUGGCCGUAAAUGUGUGUUUCACUAGUGAAGCAACAACCUGUCACUUUCAGUAGCUGGUAGCUGGGGACGCAGUAUUGUGCUUUUCUGACAAUGUUGUCAUUUGAUUGUGAUGAUAUCCUAAAUCUGACGAAAUAUGUGCCGCUUACUUGCACUUAUCAUCUACUGUAUAAAAAGUUAUGUAUUGAGAUUGGUGUGCCAUAUACUAACUUUGUUAUAAUCACAUGUAUGGACAUCAAAUUAUUCCUGGCUCAAUCUCAUCAAGUUGCAGUGCUUCAUUUUACGCAAACUUAGAUGUUCAUUCUUGUUUCUACAGAUGUCAGUCAUAAAGAAAAUGACCGCAACUGCUAUCUAAAACUAGCAUACUGUCUGGUUCGUCUAGGAGCCUAUUAGAGAAAUUGUGUAAAGGCAAAUGCAUGCUGCUGUCAUAGAGGAAGCAGAGAAGGGAGAGUGUGAAGUAGUAGUGUCGACAGAAUGGGAGAAAUAAAAUAUUCGAAG